AUUGAACGCUGGCGGCAGGCCUAACACAUGCAAGUCGAACGGUAACAGGAAACAGCUUGCUGUUUCGCUGACGAGUGGCGGACGGGUGAGUAAUGUCUGGGAAACUGCCUGAUGGAGGGGGAUAACUACUGGAAACAGUAGCUAAUACCGCAUAACGUCGCAAGACCAAAGAGGGGGACCUUCGGGCCUCUUGCCAUCGGCUGUGCCCAGAUGGGAUUAGCUAGUAGGUGGGGUAACGGCUCACCUAGGCGACGAUCCCUAGCUGGUCUGAGAGGAUGACCAGACACACUGGAACUGAGACACGGUCCAGACUACUACGGGAGGCAGCAGUGGGGAAUAUUGCACAAUGGGCGCAAGCCUGAUGCAGCCAUGCCGCGUGUAUGAAGAAGGCCUUCGGGUUGUAAAGUACUUUCAGCGGGGAGGAAGGGAGUAAAGUUAAUACCUUUACUCAUUGACGUUACCCGCAGAAGAAGCACCGGCUAACUCCGUG
rnacentral:rRNA from 1 species